UACGGAGGGUGCAAGCGUUAUCCGGAUUCACUGGGUUUAAAGGGUGCGUAGGAGGGCAGGUAAGUCAGUGGUGAAAUCUCCGAGCUUAACUUGGAAACUGCCGUUGAUACUAUCUGUCUUGAAUAUUGUGGAGGUGAGCGGAAUAUGUCAUGUAGCGGUGAAAUGCUUAGAUAUGACAUAGAACACCAAUUGCGAAGGCAGCUCGCUACACAUAUAUUGACACUGAGGCACGAAAGCGUGGGGAUCAAACAGG
rnacentral:rRNA from 1 species